rnacentral:rRNA from 1 species
UACGAAGGGGGGCGAGCGUUGUUCGGAAUUACUGGGCGUAAAGGGCGCGCAGGCGGUCCUUCAAGUCAGAUGUGAAAGCCCCGGGCUCAACCUGGGAACUGCAUUUGAGACUGGAGGACUUGAGGACGGGAGAGGAGAGUGGAAUUCCCAGUGUAGAGGUGAAAAUUCGUAGAUAGUUGGGAAGAACACCGGAUGGCGAAGGCAGGUCUCUGGGCCACUACUGACGCUGAGAAGCGAAAGCAUGGGGAGCGAACAGG